CAAAUCUUCGGGAAGUCGUGGCUGCAGCAGUGUUCCACUCCUGAUGGUAGGUAACAUCCUGGCAGGAUCUAGCCCCAGAAAGUAUAUAGAUCUAACAAAUGACAUCACUUCUCCGUUUCCUGAGCCAGGUCCCCUGUGGCACCGUUCUUCAGGGUGAUAGUAUAUGUGGGAGGGGUACGUGCUAUAUCUUUCUCCAGAGAUAUUCUACGCGUGCACACUGUCUGUAAGUAUCUUACCUCAAAUGCUUUGUGGAAGAUGGGGGAAUGGCUAUCAACAGUAAGCAAUCAGCUGGUGUGACCCAUGGACAGUCGUCUUUAUUCUGGAUGCACACACGGCAAGUUGGUUAGCGAGUACAGCAUUGAGUUGACACUGUGUCACUGUGACCUGCGGUCUCUGAACCCUCAGCUGCUGGCACAGCCCUAUCUCAGUCUCAUUGCUGUAUCUCUCUGAGAUAAUCUUCACUGCUGUGGUCACUUCCCUGCAAUGUUUAGCUGUGCAACUCAACCGAUGGACAUAUUUUGAACGUGUGUCUUGCUUAUCCCAAGUUCACCCCGCUGGAUACCAGGAACGAAGGACAGCGCUUAUAAAUACAGCCCACCCACGACGAUAUGCAUCUAUACCAAUGCACAUCCCUGAACGGAAAUCCCAGCAUGCCACAACAUCUAAGCCACAAAUAAUUGUACAACUGAAGAUACUGAAUGAACAGAGUGAUAAAAUCCAUUCACAGUAACUGGUCUAGCUAAGCUCUUUUGGAAUUCCUCUGGGAGCCCAGCAGGAUAAGAAAAGGGGGAAAUGAGUAGGGAAAACCACUGGCAGAUGACCAGCAUGCACCAGGAAAAUUCUGAACAGAUUACAUCAUGGCCAAACAUAUCUACAAGACCCUACGGAAGUGAUGCUAUGCUUGUCUCUAUAAAACAAGAUCAAUCACAGACGCAAAGGCUCAGGAAAGAGACAACAGGAUGACACGUGGCUGUGAGGACAAAUUGACAUUCAGACGUGCAAUGAGAAGAAACUUCCCUGUAAUACAACAAUUAUUGAAACCACAGAUUGAAAUGGCACACCACGUCAGUGUGCGUGUGGCCGUGGCGGUGUGAGAACCGACACAAAACAACCAGCACCAAAGACGUUCAUUGGACAUCAUGGAAAGAGGAAGAAUAUUGACAAAAGACUGAGUCAUCUACAGGGGAAAGACACCGGAUAGUCCCAGCUGGAAGGAGGCUCCUGGUGGCUCUUUCCACAGGCCUAGCAGGCCUUGAUACCGUGAAUACUGACAGUCUAAUUUGUCCAAACUUUGUGUAUUACCUUGUUUAAUCAAUUACAAUGGGGUAUUCAGGGGGUGCUGCCAGACUCUCCUCGGACCCCAGAUUUCCUCCUCAUUUCUGCUCACUUCUGGCCCUCAUAUGGCCCUUCAUUUCUCAGUGGUGCUAGCCAGUUGACCCCCCUCCAUCUGUGAGGCUCUACACCAUCAGACCCUAACUUUGCUCCAAUCCUUAUCCUCUUCUGAGCUCCGCCCUCUGCUUCUCACAGAUAAAGUGUCAACGAGGACAAAAGACCUACGUGGAACAGGUUAACAAUACUAUCAAGGGACCUUCUCUGGGAAGAAAACAAAUACGACUUUCCCCAGAAAACACAAGAUAUGUUUUGGCAUUUAAUGAAAGCCUUUCUUCAAACAAAGUCUCUGCCAAUGGAAAUGCCAAGGAGGGAGCUUCCAGGAAAGUCAUGCAUGAAAGCAAGGCAUUCAAAGUAGCAAGCUGCCUCUUUGUGUUUGUGAAGGGCUAGGAGGCCAUGUGGAGGGCUGGGCUGGUGUGCUCGGGCAGGGUUAGUGACAGCGUCUACCCCAGGAUGUGCAGCAGGUCUCAGGAAAGGAGGCUGGGCUGCUAGAAACUACCAGCAGCUGGAAGGUUUGGGGUUGCUUGGGAGGACAUGAGGGCUUGGUGUGGCAUAGUGUCAUCUGUAGGGGUAAUCAAUAAUUCAAUAUGAGGUUGAGCUUACCACUUAUCAACCACCUCCCCUGAGCCAGGCGUUGGGAUCCGGGCAUUACCACACUGAUUCGUUGUAACAGCUCUAUCAUUUCUCCCUUUCACUAAUGAGGGAGAGUAAGUCAGUUGACUCUAAUCAUACAAUUAGUAACUGGUGGUCCCAGGAUUUGCACGUGGGAUUGUCAGAUCAUAGAGCUCAAGGUCAAAGUCAGGGUAAGCGUUUUGCAGCCUCUGGUUGGAGGGUUGAGGGGAGACCCCACGGAUCCACCUGAUUUCCAGCAAUCGACUGAAGGAGCAUUCUGGCCAUGUGCACUCUGUCCCUGGGGACAAUGUAACACACUGUCAGCUGCAGGGAUGGGUAGAAUUUCCAUUCCGUAAUUAAUGCCAACUUGAGAUGUCUAUCAAGUUUAGCUCAGUCAGUAAUGGAGACAUUCUUUUCUUAAUCAAGAAGAUUGUAUGAGUGAAUCUUCUUGAGGAGACCUCAGGGGGCACAGAGGGUCUCAAGGUUUCUGGGGUUGACACCUGUGUCCUGUGCAUUUGAAGAGAUGUGUCAUGGUUGACUCCACAUCACAGAGCACCUUUAAGAAAAAACAGAUGAGGGGUGCCUGGGUGGCUCAGUCGGUGAAGCGUCUGAAUUCAUCUCAGGUCAUGAUCUCAUGGCUCAUGAGUUCGAGCCCCGCGUCGGGCUCUGUGCUGACAGCUCAGAGCCUGGAGCCUACUUUGGAUUCUGUGUCCCUCUCUCUACCUCUCCCCCACUUGUACUCUGUCUCUGUCUCUAUCUCUCAAAGAUAAAUAAACAUUAAAAAAUUUAAAAAAAAAAGAAAAAACACAGAUGACAACAAUUUAAAUGAUAACCUUGCUUCCGAUGUGGGUCGUGAUCUUGGGGGUUCCAAACCUGCACUAAGUCGGUGGACCUGAACGCCUGGUGAUUAUUUAUGCUUCAGGGAAAUACUACCGGCCAGACCUGAACUUCCCUUGCAGUCUGCCCAGAAGGAGCAGUGGAAUCAAAGACUUUGAAAAUGAUCCUCCACUAUCAUCGUGUGGAAUUUUCCAGUCCCGCAUGGCAGGUAUGUUUGGGGAUCAUUCUGGUAGAAAUAGUAACAUUAAUCACAGCAAUGAUGAUCACUAAUGCAUACUGAGCCCUUGCUACAUGCCCGCGGAGGUCCGUGUUAGCAUUAACCCCAUUCUGCUGAGGAAGCGGCUCAGGCACAGAGACGUUAAGGAAGUUGCACGAGGCCACACAGCUAGUAAGUGCAGGUGCAGGGGUUUGACCCAGGAUGGACAGUUGGGGGGGUCAGAAGGAAUGAAAGAUACAAGAGAGGGGAGGAAAAAGCAAUGAACACUAAAAAUUUUUUUUUAAAGAACAUAUCCUCUCUGAUUUUACUUCAGGAUCUGUCAGUCUGGGCUUAUGCUUUAUGUCUGGGGUUCUGGUCCCACACGGUUGACUUUUUGGAGCCAAAAAAGCCAACGGGUUCAUCUGGUCUUCAUUUUAUGAACGAAAAGACCCGAACCAAGAAAUGAGGGAGGUGUGUGGGCUUGCACACUGCUGGUUACCGGAAGGAGCUCAGGGUCUCUGAAGGGGUGUCCGUGCGGGCAGUUUUUGACCUCUGCACUCAUUUCCGGGGACGCCCUGAUGAGGUGCCACAGGUGGAGUGGCUCCAUCAGCAGAAAUGUGUUUGUUCUCUUGUGGUUCUGGAAGCCAGGCGUCUGAGGUCCUCCCGAGGCCUUGAGGGUGGCUGCUCCAGACCCCUCCUCCGGGCUUAUAGACGCCGCCUUCUCCCGGGGUCUUCACGUCGCCUCCGUUGCCUCCUCGCCUCCCUCUGUGCCCAUCAUGGCUGUGUCCAAACUCCCCCCUUUGAGAAGGACGCCGGUCAGAUUGAACCAGAGCCCCCCCCUAGCGACCGCAUCAUAACCUGACUGCCAUUAUAAAGACACCGUGCCCAAAGAAGGUCACACUCUGAGGAACGGAGCGUGAGGACCCCCGCAGAUGAAUUUGGGGGGUACGAUCCAGCCCGUGACAGCCUCCCCUACAGCCUCGCCAGCUUGGCACCGUGCAUUUCCUAAAAAGGUCUCCUUCUUUCCCAGGGGCCAGGCCCUCUAAUUUUGCGAGAGGAAAUGUGAGCUCCGGGCUUGUCCCUCUCUGCUCAGGAUCUCACAGCCUGAACUCCAACUGUCAGCGGGGCUGAGCGCCCAUCCGGAGCCUCUUGGAAGCUGUUGCAGUUUCCCCCAAAAGACCGUUGGGGGAAUUCGGUUCCCUGCGGUCAUAGGACUGAAGUCCUGGUUCCCUUGCUGGCCAUCACCAAAGGGCUUUCUUUUCUCAGCUCCCACGCUCCUUGCCAUGUGGCCCCCUCCAUCUCCGAAGCCUGCAGUAGGGAAUAUCUUGCGUGCGGAAUCCGCAUACCUUGGACUCUCUGACUUUUUUUCUGUGACAGCCAGAGAUAAAUCUCUGUUUUUAACGGGCUCGCCCGGAUGGGUCAGGCUUACCCGCAAUUAUCUCCCUUCUGCCGUAGGACACAACACUCCCACAUUCACAGCCUCCAGCCACACUCACGGGGACCUUACGGGUGGGUGCAUCAGGGGCUGGAAAUCUCGGGGCCAUUUAAGAUCCUGCCUACCUCAGGUAGCGAGCCCGCCCUCAGAGUCCUCCCCAUGGGAGGUUACAAUUAUGAAGAGGGGUUUUUGCACCUGCUGUUUUCCAGGAGAAGCACUGCUGGACAGCGGCAUCAGAAUCACCUCCGUCUUCACCUCCCCAGCCCUCCGCUGUGUGCAGACAGCCAAACACAUCCUGGAAGGUCGGUAAGAGCUGCAGUGAGCAUCGCAGGUGGCCCUGACCUCAUGGUUAUUCUCCAAAGGGGGGAGGGAAGGGAACGGGGGUAAGAAUCGGAUGAGUGGCAAUGAAUGGCCACAGAAGUCGCAAGACAGUUUUGGACCAGUCCUCCGAGAGCUGUUGGCAGACACUGAGCCCCUCAACAUUUCUGGAAUGCCAGGAUUCUAAUCGAGUGGCAUCACACUGUCCACCUGCAUCUGCUUGUAUCUAACAUAUGUUUAAAAAGAGAGAGAGAGAGCAGAGGAGGGGCAGAGAGAAAAGGAGAGAGAGAGGAUCCCAAGCAGGCUCUUCACUGUCACUGCAGAGAGCCCCACAUGGGGUUUGAUCCCACGAACCGUGGGAUCGUGACCUGAGCCGAAGUUGGACGCUUAACUGACAGAGCCCCCAGGCGCCCCUGCCAUGUGGCUUUCAAAACAGCAUCUGAGGAGGGGUUUCAAAAGCCCACAGAGCUGGGAACAGCUGUGGUCCCUUCUGAGGGCCAAGCUCAUGACUCUUGCCGGGGCGAGGGGAGAGGCUGCUGGGAGCUGUCCAGCGCCACUGAAGGCGGAUGUCCCUUAGGAAGCCCCCAGACCACCUUUAGCAGCUUCUGCCUGCAGGAAAAAGAGAGUUCCUGCCAGAGAAGUGCAGCCUGUUCUGGGGGCCUUGGUUCUUCGUCUGCUGCUGGAGCCCUGCCCUGCCCUCUUGGAGGGAGGGGGCGGGGGGGCAGUGGACAUGAUGUAGUCAGCAGUGCAGGAGCACAGGCCAAAGCCCCACAGUGAUGGGACAGAGGGGAGAAGACGUGGACACAGACACAGCAGGUGUGCUGAUGUGGGGGAGGGGGCUUGCCUCUACUUUCUCAGAGACAGUGGGGGUCAGGCCACCAGCUGGAAGCCAGAAAGGGAAGGACUUCUGGAGGCUUGGGGUGCACGGAAGGCACGACACGUCUAUCAGAGAGGUAGAGGGUGGUCACUGAGUACUGACUUUACAUGGAGACCCAGCCACCACAGGGCCUGGGGCUUUCCUGCAGGGGCAGAUGUGGGGGACCAGGUGGAGAGCUGGAGCUAAUGACGGGUGGGCUCGACAAGUGAAGUGCAAAGUUCUCAGAAAUGUUCUCCGGUGAUGAUAACGUCAGUGUCUCUAAUACGAUGUCUCGUGGACUUUUGGUCUACACGCAGAACAUCUUUUUUUAUUGUCACGAUGCUGUUUAAAGUCUAAGUGUAUAAAUUCUGGGUCGUUCAGGAAAAUGAGGGCGCUCAACCUUCUUCACAGGUCCUGGAACAGGACAGACAUCUGAGAGGCUUACAUGCUACCCUUAGUUUCACUGUCAUGUCAGUGACUGUCCAGAUGGACCAUUUCCCAAAAUGUGACCCACAGAACAAAGUGGCCGCAAGAUGGGUCCACAGAAGGAGUGGCCAAGACCGUUUGGGAACCUCUCCAACUGUUCCCACUGGACACACGGGCCCUCCACAGGCUGGAGGGAACUCAGGAGCCUGGUUAGACCGUGUAACUCCCUUUCGUAAAUGUGCUUUGGCAAAGGAACUUGUUCCGUGGACCUGGAAUACAUUUGGGGAACUGAUUUAUUUCCAGCAUUGGAGCUUAAUGACAUUUUCUCCAUUUCAAAUAAAAGUAUUCAGGCCCUCUUUCCCCCACUCAAAGAGAUGGCCUUAUGCUAUAGGUGUUCUCUUGGUCGAGGUAUGAAAUUCUCGGGAAGGGUAGCGGGGAGAAGUCUGGGUGUUCCAAGAGACAGCUCCCUUCACCCUUCACCUUCUCCUCAAUCUGGGUGUCUGUCAAGAUGGCGCUUCAGUGGUGACCAGUGUGCUCCUCCAUUGGCCGAGUCUUUUCCAUGGAUCCCUGGGUCGGUCGACAUGGUGUGCUCUCACUCUUGAUCAAUGAUGAGGCCCAGUGCUAGUCUGGCUGUAGAGAUAUAUGGGACCAUCAGGGUGAAUUCACUGAUAGUGGCAUCUCGCAGGCCGGGCAGACUCUGUCCCCUUCCUUAUGGACAGGCGUCACCGCUCCUCAGAUGCCUUUCAACCAUCUGGUGGGUUCUGUCUUAGAAAUAGCAUAGCAGGGGCACCUGGGUGGCUCCAUUGGCCAACUGUCCAACUCUUGACUUCAGCUCAGGUCAUGAUCUCAUGGUUUAUAAGUUCGAGUCCCAAGUCAUGCUCUGUGCUGACAGCUCGGAGCCUGCUUGGGAUUCUCUCUCUCCCGCUCUCUGCCUCUCUCUCUCUCCCUUUCAAACUAAAUAAAUAAACUUAAAAAAAAAAAGAAAUAGCACACCUGUAAGUAAUCACAGAACAAUAUUUGCCAAGGGAAAAAAAACCCACAUUUUUUUAAAAAAGUAUUGUUUAAGAGACUCACAUAAAACCAAUCUGGUCACUGAGGAUUACAAACGCUUGUAUUCUGUUGGAUCCAGAGCUCAAACUGGAGAAAACGAUUAAGAUAAGAGUGGAACCCGGCAUCUUUGAAUGGACCAAAUGGGAGUCCGGCAAAACCACCCCAACCCUCAUGACCCUGGACGAGCUGCAGGAGGCAGGUUUCAACGUCAGCAUGGAUUACAGGUGGGUCGCUCCCUCCCUUUCUGCCGGGGUGGGGCACCUUCGUAGCUCCCGCUCAAGAAGAAACACUCAGGACAGCACUAAAGACUGUAUUUGGGGGACCACUGCCCUGGGGGUGUGACAAGGGACCAGGACUGGACCCGGCUCUGAACAUAAUGGGGACAAGUGAGGGAUUUUAGUGAAGGAGCAGGGCAGAGGCGGGACGCUACUGAGGGAUGGGGUGGGGGGAGCAAUUCUCCGUGCACCACCACAGCAGUAGCCUUGCCGAGGCAGGCCAGAGUGAGCGUGCGCAGGCAUCACCUGCGAGUGACGGGGGAGGCGGGGUUUGCUCAGGAUUCGAGGAGGAGCAGACACCAAGGGUGGGGGUUCCGGCUCCCUGUGUCAGCAGGAGUCUCGCUAAAACCGACUCUACGCGGUUGGACACGGAAGCCCACGGUCGGCCUCGUGAGACUCGAGCUCCGGGAGCCCGGCCAGGGUGUGGUCCAGGAGACACGGUUUGUCCUUCUCUGCCACGGCCCGCUCUUUGCCGUCACAAACCCUCCUGGGGUUCAGUGAGCGUACUUGCUAGAGAGAUCGAACGUCGGCCCCCGGCCUGCUUGGGGCCCACACUGGACUGUCACGCGGACCUAGAGCCCCGCCCUCCCGGAAGGGCUUCUCCUUCUCCCGCUGACCACACGGCCAGCAGGCCGGCGUGGCAGCCACCCCCGUCUCCUCCUCCAGGCCUGCGUUUCCCCUCGCCUCCCUCAUGCCGGCCGAGAGCUAUGACGAGUAUGUGAACAGGUGUGCGGUGAGCGUCGGAUGGAUCACCAGCAUCCGCCCACGGGACGGUAAGGGCCUCCCGCGUCCCCCAGCCCCCGGCCCUGGGGAUGGGCAGCCCCCCGGGGAGGUGGGGUCUUACCUCUGGGGUGGAAACUGGCCAAUUUUCAGAGUUUAGGAAAGCCCCAACCUCGUCCGCCCCCUCCCCAACCAACAGUGUCACACGGAGGCCUCUGCAGUCACCGGGCACGUGGCCACAUACCUGCCACCACGCUGGGGGGGGGGGGGGUCGGGUCCCGAUUCUGUCACCGAGAGCUGAUGGGAUCCAGGAUGGCAGGGUCAACACAAACCGCUCGUGUCCACUUCCUAGGAAACAAGAGACUAAGAAUGGAACGCGAACCAGAUGUCAGGUCACAUUCGAACAAAACGUCCGUACAUGUAGACGGUUGAGCCCGUUAGAGAAACCUGAACUCGGAAUUUGAGUGUGGAGUCUGAAUGUGGACAUGCCUGAGAAACCGUGUGAAUUCUGUUAGGUGUGACGGUGGCAGGCUGGGCGUGGCAGGGCGGGAAGUGGUCACGUGAAGGGGCAGACUGAGGUAUAGUCUGUGGAAUGGUGGGACGGUGGGGGUAGCGGGGGAGGGGCGGUGUACUCACGGACGGUGCGCGAUGUGCCAACGUCACGCCAUUGCGGCUCCGGGAUGCGUUAGACGCCCCUGUGGGCCUAUUGGGGGAUAUUUGAAAACAUCUGUGGUAAAAGUCGACACAUAACCCUUUAGAAUUUUAAGUUAGCACGCUGAACAUCAGCGACGUGUCAGAGACCAAAUAAAACGUCGUGGGGAAAAUCCAAGCGAAGAAGGCACGCGCUCUGCCCUCAAAGAGUUUGGAGAUUGUUGGGGAAAGGCAUGACAUCCAGAAUAUUAGGAGUUUCGAAUAACACGAGGAAGAGUCUCCGAGGCAGUGAGAGACCACAAGACCCGCUUCCCCACCUGGUUAUCCUUCGUCCCGCAUCCCGCAGACUCGGGCAGAGAUGUCUGCUGACGAGGGAAGACCGUCUCUGCUCUCAGGGAAGAGCUGAGCACCUGGCCUCCCCGGACAGUCCCAACGCGCCAGGGGGACACGCUCCCUCACAUCCUGUAGGAAGAGACCCAAACCUUGCCGCGCCCAGCUCCCCCAAACACAGCCGGCCGCGAGGCUGCUUUACAAAUGGCCCAUUUUGACCGGUUGGCACCCUGGGGAACGUGCUUCCAGAAGCCACACCUUAGUGGCAUUUGGUUGAUUCCCAAACUCCUGUUACGCACAGUUACUGCGACAGAGCGCCUCAGGACAGACGGUGACGUGAGAGCCUUUCGCUGUACGACGGGGGCCCGUCCUCAGGCCACCGCUGUCCAGCUGCUCCAGUUCGAGCCUCUGUCCUGAGCUGAAUUUCAGUGUCCACAGGGUGCUCUGCCCUUCCGAGGACACUCCCCCCGUUACAGGGGUGAGGCCUUCCGGAACAGGGAUGGGGAUCUGCUCAAUCAGCUCCAACCCCUCGGAACACUGUCUUGUGACGCUCACCGCAGGGAACACAGCCCAUCCGUCCCCGUGUGGCUGAGGCUGUCAGGAUGCAAUGCUUGAGGGACAGGACAAGUCGGAUUUGGAAGGUGAGCGGUGCCGGAGGGGGGACAGCAUGAGGCAGGUGGGAGCGUGACAGGUGUGGCCAGCGGCAGAGGAGGAGUAAAAACUCCAGGCGGGCUGGAGGGUAGGAGCCGACCCCACCGGUCCCCGGGCAGACGUUAUCUGUGAACUGGUCACCGUCCUGCACAGCCUGGAGUCACCUCCACGCACACCCCAUGACCCUGCAGUCCAGAGGACUGAAGCCUACGUGCCCACGUCACCCGAGCACCGAGAGCACAGGCCCAGAGUCGAAGCCGUGCGUCCGCCUCCCAGGCGGCAUCCCGGCUGCCACCGCACCGUGACUUCGGAGGCCAGAGAUGUGAGAGCGGAAUUAACAGGAAAUAGUACAUCAGGGCUUCGGUCACGCUGGAGAAUUCAGUGUCAGGAAGCAGCAAGAAUGAAUCGUUCUGUGUCGGCCAGAACCUUCAGGGGAAGCUCUCCACCCGACUGCCUCCUCCAGGUGGACCCUGUGGGGCCGGCCACAGCACCUCGUGGACCCACCAGGACCCGCCAGCUCCCCCCAGCUGUGACUGGUCCCCGCGGCAGUCACGCCCGCCAGCAGAAGACUCGCUCCACCCGUGGACUCGGGGUGUCGUUAUUGAAGCAAGAGGCAUCAGCAGGCUCGUGGUGGCUGAUGCCUCUCAAGCUGAGGGACCCAGCCUGGGAGGCAGCCACCACAUCCCGCAAGAGGUGGUCCCUCAGGUCACAGCGCAGUCCCAUCCCCGAAGCUCCCGACAGGCGCGGCCACCCCCAGAAGGUGCACGAGGACGUGAUACAGCAGGGACCGUGCACACGCAUGGGGGACCCGCAACUCGGGGUUACCUGCCGCACCGCUUCCGACCCGGGAUCUCUCAAGGCUUUGUGUACCCCGGGGGUGAUUCCACCCGACGACCUUGGGGACUCUCGUUCUACUAGAAGGCGCUCUCCGUGCCUGCUCUGACUCCGAGGUGUCCCUUUCUGUACAGUAGGCGUCAUCCUGAUCGUGGGCCACGGCUCAGCGCUGGACUCCUGCACCCGCCCACUCCUUGGGCUGCCUCCCCGCGACAGCGGAGACUUCGCCCAGCUCGUGAGAAAGGUAUGUGCCCGCCCCUUCCUCCCCUUCGGGCCGUGAAGUCAAGCACCCCGAGCACACGGGGUCAUCACGCUCCCCUCUCAGAAUGAAAGCAGGGGUCCAGACAACCCAGGGCAGCAGGGACGCCCCCCACCCCACCCGCCCUGUGUCCUGAGAAUGUGUGCACCUGCUCUUACACAAAGGGCGGUCCUGGGUGGGGGGCUGAUGGGAGCGGUUUGUCAUUUUUAUCAUCAUUAUGGCAACUUUGGCCAUUUGCUGCCCAGAUAAUAUGAAAAAUAAGAAACAGGCAGUCCCUGUAGUGGACCAGAUGGUCCAGUGAGUAGUAAGCCAUGUGGAUACAAGGACAAAGGACAACUGCGGGGCUGGCUUGCUCUGGGGACCCAGGGGCAGGGGGUGGGGGGCUCGAGGACAGAAAGGAACCCCCACCCUUCGCCUUUGGAGUCAUCCCACCAUGGAACACACAAGCACUUGCGGUGACGGCCGGCGUGUCCGGGGCCGGGCUGGGGCUCUGCAAACACUCACAAGAAAAGCUAACAGGUGACGGAUGUGUAGAGAAGGGUAGUGAGUGGUCUGCACCGACCUGUUGACCGUCACCCAGUGAAAUGACUCGAGGCAGGCAAACUGGGGGCUCAGACACACCCCCUGCUCCCGCACCGAAAAUCUACUCAGGGCCAGACUUGCCCACUGUCCUUGGCCUUUUUAUCAAACUAAUCGGCCAGUGACCUUGAGGCCGGGAGUACAGUGGCAUAAACGACACUUGGGAUGGGUGAUGGGCCCCUGAGCUGGUUCCUUCGUGCAAAAUCGUCACAGGACCACGACCAGCCCCAGCUUGUUUGCAGAGGGGCAGCCCCGUGCCCUGCCCGGCCCACACGGGCUCUGUGCCUACGCAAAGUUCCCGGCUUUCGGAGCCCCGCCCUGCCUGCCAGAGAAAGUCGGGUCCUCCCUCACGGGGGGCGAGUCAGAGAGCGAUACCUGCGUGCACCCUCUCUCUUCCCAUUCACUUUCCUCUGGCCCUGAGUGGAAGCCCCUCAGAGUGCCCCCGAGGUGGGCUUUCCCAACUGUGACCCAGAUGUUCCCGAGCCCUUAGGGGUCCUGGGCCACCGACUACCACUCUCCGAGUACAGGGCUCGAGGCCACACUGGGUGAAGAUGCACUUUUCUGGGGUUUUCCUGGUCGGCCCCCGCGCACCUGCUCCCCGUCUGUUGCUCUAGCCCCUGUCCACCCCCCUGUGCUCCCGUGCUGCCCGCUCCUGCUCCCGCGCCCCUCCCCCCUCUCCUGGGGCUCCAGGUCACCCCCACGAUGGCCACCGCACAUGCCAGCUGCUGACCGUUGCAUGUGGAGGCUGUUCCAAAGCCCUAUUAGUCUUUGCAGCCCCAUUCCCACCCACUGCCCCGACCCUUGGCCAGCCUUGAACUUCCAAAUUCCUCUGACAUUUUUAUCCUGACACUUUGGUGCCCACCCCACCCCCUCCCCAAAUAAGCUGCACUCGCCUGCACACAGCAGAAAUUUACCAAGGGGCUCUGUGGAGCCACGGGCCUUCAAAUCGAGGGCAGACGGAAACAGAUCGUUCACGACCUUCCCCUUGCCCACCCCAUCACGCUGCCUCCCCGUGUACACACACACGCACACGCACAUACAUACACUCACACACAUACACACACAACCACACUGGUGUACAUGUGCACGCACAUAGAUGCAUACACAUGUGUGUGCACAUACAUACAUGCGUGCACAUGCAUACACACAUGUGUGCACUUGUACUUGCACACGUGCAUACACAUGCACGCACACGUACAUGCAUGCACACAGAUGCACACACAUACACAUGCACACACAUGUGCGCAUGCACACACAUACAUACACACACACAUACACACACGCACACUGGUGUACACGUGCACACACAUACACAGGCACAUGCACACAGGGGUACACAUGUACAUGUAUGCGUGCACAUGCACACAUGCAUGCACACACAUGCACACACAUACACUCACAGACACAGAUGCACACAGGUGUACACACACAGGUACAUGCACACAGGUACACACGUACACACGUGCACGCAUAUAUGUGUAUGCACAUACAUGUGCACGUGCACACAUGCAUGCAUACGUGCACACGUGUGUACAUUGCACACAUAAAUACAUGCAUGCAUACAUGUGCACGCAUGCGCACACACGCACAUGCACACAGGGGUACACAUGUACAUGUAUGCAUGCACAUGCGCACACAUAUAUACACAUGCAUGCGCACAUGUGCACAUGCACACACAUACACUCACAGACACACAUGCACACAGGUGUACACACAGGUACACGCACCCAUAUGCAUGCACACACGUGUACACGUGUGCGUACAUGUACGUGCAUGCACACACACGCACACACACAUGCACAGUCUCUCUAAGUAGGAGAGAGUCAUCCUGAGUCAGCGCCAUCACCCACGUGGACCCCCACCGCAUGUUGGAAUUUCUGCAAAUUUUGUCUCACCAAGAAAUUUCCAGACAUCAAAAGAGAGAAGAAAAACAGGAAAGCAAAACAUGCAAACGACAACAGCAACAACAAAGCCUUAAAAACAAAGAUGUCCACAAACACGUUCAUUUUACAGAUGAAGGGAUUAAGGUCUAAAGUCUCACCUUGCGGUUUUUUCCUGGGCUCUGAAAACGCCUAUAUCUUUGCGAUGCCAACUUUGAGAAUGUAAGUCACUCUUCAAGCUGUGGCCUGGGGACCGUUGAGCCUCGGGCAGGGUACUUCUGGGCCGCGGGGCGUCCUGGGCACCGUGGAUAUCAGCAGCAUCCUUGGCCUCUGCCCGUUAGAUGCCAACAGCACCCCCAGUGCCACCAGCUUAUUGCUGGUCCGCAGACAUCGCCCUGGUCCGUGGGAGCGAGGGGCGCGGCCCCGCUGGGGACGGCUGUGUGAGGCGCCAGCAUCAUGUUUCAGGCAGCGGUGCCAGCGAGGGCCCAUCGUGCCCACCACCCCGGCCCGGCAGGGCCUGUCUGUUGGGUCUAGAGCGACGAUAAAAUCGAUCGACCUCCUACAAGAUAUUAACAAGUGAUUGAAAACUCUGUCCUAGAUUCCUUCUCUGGGUAUGUGCUUCUGCGAAG
rnacentral:lncRNA from 1 species